UCAAGUGAAGAAGCGCAUACGGUGGAUGCCUUGGCAGUCAGAGGCGAUGAAAGACGUGGUAGCCUGCGAAAAGCUUCGGGGAGUCGGCAAACAGACUGUGAUCCGGAGAUGUCUGAAUGGGGGAACCCAGCCAUCACAAGAUGGUUAUCUUACACUGAAUACAUAGGUGUAAGAGGCGAACCAGGGGAACUGAAACAUCUAAGUACCCUGAGGAAAAGAAAUCAACCGAGAUUCCCUUAGUAGUGGCGAGCGAACGGGGACCAGCCCUUAAGUUGUAUUGAGAUUAGCGGAACGCUCUGGAAAGUGCGGCCAUAGUGGGUGAUAGCCCUGUACGCGAAAAUCCCUUUGCAAUGAAAUCGAGUAGGACGGGGCACGAGAAACCUUGUCUGAAUAUGGGGGGACCAUCCUCCAAGGCUAAAUACUACUGACUGACCGAUAGUGAACCAGUACCGUGAGGGAAAGGCGAAAAGAACCGCGGAGAGCGGAGUGAAAUAGAUCCUGAAACCGUAUGCGUACAAGCAGUGGGAGCCCACUUUGUUGGGUGACUGCGUACCUUUUGUAUAAUGGGUCAGCGACUUAUUUUCAGUGGCGAGCUUAACCGAAUAGGGGAGGCGUAGCGAAAGCGAGUCUUAAUAGGGCGUCUAGUCGCUGGGAAUAGACCCGAAACCGGGCGAUCUAUCCAUGGGCAGGUUGAAGGUUGGGUAACACUAACUGGAGGACCGAACCGACUACCGUUGAAAAGUUAGCGGAUGACCUGUGGAUCGGAGUGAAAGGCUAAUCAAGCUCGGAGAUAGCUGGUUCUCCUCGAAAGCUAUUUAGGUAGCGCCUCAUGUAUCACUGUAGGGGGUAGAGCACUGUUUCGGCUAGGGGGUCAUCCCGACUUACCAAACCGAUGCAAACUCCGAAUACCUACAAGUGCCGAGCAUGGGAGACACACGGCGGGUGCUAACGUCCGUCGUGAAAAGGGAAACAACCCAGACCGUCAGCUAAGGUCCCAAAGUCAUGGUUAAGUGGGAAACGAUGUGGGAAGGCUUAGACAGCUAGGAGGUUGGCUUAGAAGCAGCCACCCUUUAAAGAAAGCGUAAUAGCUCACUAGUCGAGUCGGCCUGCGCGGAAGAUGUAACGGGGCUCAAACCAUGCACCGAAGCUACGGGUAUCACCUUUGGUGAUGCGGUAGAGGAGCGUUCUGUAAGCCUGUGAAGGUGAGUUGAGAAGCUUGCUGGAGGUAUCAGAAGUGCGAAUGCUGACAUGAGUAACGACAAUGGGUGUGAAAAACACCCACGCCGAAAGACCAAGGUUUCCUGCGCAACGUUAAUCGACGCAGGGUUAGUCGGUCCCUAAGGCGAGGCUGAAAAGCGUAGUCGAUGGAAAACAGGUUAAUAUUCCUGUACUUCUGGUUAUUGCGAUGGAGGGACGGAGAAGGCUAGGCCAGCCUGGCGUUGGUAGUCCAGGUUUAAGGUGGUAGGCUGAGAUCUUAGGUAAAUCCGGGAUCUUAAGGCCGAGAGCUGAUGACGAGUGUUCUUUUAGAACAUGAAGUGGUUGAUGCCAUGCUUCCAAGAAAAGCUUCUAAGCUUCAGGUAACCAGGAACCGUACCCCAAACCGACACAGGUGGUUGGGUAGAGAAUACCAAGGCGCUUGAGAGAACUCGGGUGAAGGAACUAGGCAAAAUGGCACCGUAACUUCGGGAGAAGGUGCGCCGGUGAGGGUGAAGCAUUUACUGCGUAAGCCCACGCCGGUCGAAGAUACCAGGCCGCUGCGACUGUUUAUUAAAAACACAGCACUCUGCAAACACGAAAGUGGACGUAUAGGGUGUGACGCCUGCCCGGUGCCGGAAGGUUAAUUGAUGGGGUUAGCGCAAGCGAAGCUCUUGAUCGAAGCCCCGGUAAACGGCGGCCGUAACUAUAACGGUCCUAAGGUAGCGAAAUUCCUUGUCGGGUAAGUUCCGACCUGCACGAAUGGCGUAACGAUGGCGGCGCUGUCUCCACCCGAGACUCAGUGAAAUUGAAAUCGCUGUGAAGAUGCAGUGUAUCCGCGGCUAGACGGAAAGACCCCGUGAACCUUUACUAUAGCUUUGCACUGGACUUUGAAUUUGCUUGUGUAGGAUAGGUGGGAGGCUUUGAAGCGUGGACGCUAGUCUGCGUGGAGCCAACCUUGAAAUACCACCCUGGCAACUUUGAGGUUCUAACUCAGGUCCGUUAUCCGGAUCGAGGACAGUGUAUGGUGGGUAGUUUGACUGGGGCGGUCUCCUCCUAAAGAGUAACGGAGGAGUACGAAGGUGCGCUCAGACCGGUCGGAAAUCGGUCGUAGAGUAUAAAGGCAAAAGCGCGCUUGACUGCGAGACAGACACGUCGAGCAGGUACGAAAGUAGGUCUUAGUGAUCCGGUGGUUCUGUAUGGAAGGGCCAUCGCUCAACGGAUAAAAGGUACUCCGGGGAUAACAGGCUGAUACCGCCCAAGAGUUCAUAUCGACGGCGGUGUUUGGCACCUCGAUGUCGGCUCAUCACAUCCUGGGGCUGAAGCCGGUCCCAAGGGUAUGGCUGUUCGCCAUUUAAAGUGGUACGCGAGCUGGGUUUAGAACGUCGUGAGACAGUUCGGUCCCUAUCUGCCGUGGACGUUUGAGAUUUGAGAGGGGCUGCUCCUAGUACGAGAGGACCGGAGUGGACGAACCUCUGGUGUUCCGGUUGUCACGCCAGUGGCAUUGCCGGGUAGCUAUGUUCGGAAAAGAUAACCGCUGAAAGCAUCUAAGCGGGAAACUUGCCUCAAGAUGAGAUCUCACUGGAACCUAGAGUUCCCUGAAGGGCCGUCGAAGACUACGACGUUGAUAGGUUGGGUGUGUAAGCGCUGUGAGGCGUUGAGCUAACCAAUACUAAUUGCCCGUGAGGCUUGACC
rnacentral:rRNA from 1 species